UGUCACUCACUGCACAAGAUGUUUUGGAUGC
rnacentral:piRNA from 1 species